rnacentral:rRNA from 1 species
GGACUACUGGGGUAUCUAAUCCUGUUUGCUCCCCACGCUUUCGCACCUCAGCGUCAGUAUUGGCCCAGGUCGCCGCCUUCGCCACUGGUGUUCCUCCCGAUAUCUACGAAUUUCACCUCUACACCGGGAAUUCCGCGACCCUCUUCCAUACUCAAGUUCGGUAGUUUCGAAAGCACUUCCUCGGUUGAGCCGAGGGAUUUCACUCCCGACUUACCGGACCGCCUACGUGCGCUUUACGCCCAAUGAUUCCGAGCAACGUUUGCACCCUCCGUAUUACCGCGGCUGCUGGCAC